ACAGGCACACACUUGGCACAUCCCCCUUUUGAUUGCCUAAGCCUGGAAAGUAUCAUUUGAACCAGGCCACAGUUGAUUUCUUUUUACAGUAACGCAGAGAAGCCUGGGGAGCUGCCCAUCAUCCAGCUCCUGAUCUUCCAGCUGAGGUGACCCGACCCCUCUCUUUCCCAGAUUCCACUGAAGCUGCCCAGUUUGUUGAAAUACAAAAUCCUCAAAAACAAGGGAUAUGCAGUGGAAGGAGCAGUCACUGAGUCUGACUGUUAACAGUCAGAAGUAGAUCACAAAACACACUUAAGUGGAACACAGAACUAGACAUGUUUGUUGUCCAACCAUCAGAAAAAGCAGGCAGGAAAGAAGCUGCAAUGGACUUGAAAAAGGCUCCUUUAGAAAGCAUCUUCCAAAGUGAGAUGAUUGGUAAGUAUAAUGCCUACAGGGGAAAGCAGCUUUAAAAAACAACAACUCUUAUUGCUAGAAAACAUAUUGCACUUUAAAAUGUUUGUCUUCUCCUCUGCUUGUCUAGCAUAAACAACAUUAAAAGUGACUCAUUUCAGUCUAAAAGGCA